rnacentral:lncRNA from 1 species
CUUGGAAUUGAUAGAAGGCUCUCGUGCACAAGAGGGUCAUCAGCAGCAUUAACCAGCAGAAGAGGAACAUAGAUCCUGUGCAAGUAAUGCAGGCAGCUUUCCUCUUCAUAGUAUUCCUUCAGGGAACUGUAGCCAUGGAACUUCCUCAUAACAUUGUCAUCAAUCUGCAUAAGGGAUGUUGCUGUAUAGAGUUUGCUCAGAUCAGCAUCUGACAGGCUUUGUGGCUUCUUCACGUUAUCUCCAAAAAGAACUUGCCUGUGAGAAAGGAUGAUCUUCUUCAUGUUAUCUGCCAUGAGGAAGUUAUAAAAUCUUCUACAUUGAUCCCAUUGCAUGAAGGUUUCCUGUGCCCUGAGUGCGCUGUACCCCUGGCACACGCUGACACAGCACAGAACCCUCUCCUGGUUAGCCUGGUUCUCUCCCAGGUACUUGCACACGAUGUUUCCACCCAGGCUGAAGCCUACCACAACCAACUGGGUCUGAGGGUAGGUCUUCUUGAUGUGAUUCACCAUGGCUCCAAAUUCCCAGGUGCAACCAUAUGUGAACAUUCGUGGAGAAGUGAGCUCAAUAUUUGG